CCAAUAGCGUAUAUUAAAGUUGUUGUGGUUAAAAAGCUCGUAGUUGAACCUUGGGCCUGGCUGGCCGGUCCGCCUCACCGCGUGUACUGGUCCGGCCGGGCCUUUCCCUCUGUGGAACCCCAUGCCCUUCACUGGGUGUGGCGGGGAAACAGGACUUUUACUUUGAAAAAAUUAGAGUGCUCCAGGCAGGCCUAUGCUCGAAUACAUUAGCAUGGAAUAAUGAAAUAGGACGUGUGGUUCUAUUUUGUUGGUUUCUAGGACCGCCGUAAUGAUUAAUAGGGACAGUCGGGGGCAUCAGUAUUCAAUCGUCAGAGGUGAAAUUCUUGGAUCGAUUGAAGACUAACUACUGCGAAAGCAUUUGUCAAGGAUGUUUUCAUUAAUCAGGAACGAAAGUUAGGGGAUCGAAGACGAUCAGAUACCGUCGUAGUCUUAACCAUAAACUAUGCCGACUAGGGAUCGGACGAUGUUAUUUUUUGACUCGUUCGGCACCUUACG
rnacentral:misc_RNA from 1 species